UCCUCUCUCUCUCUCUCUCUCUCUCCCCCUCCCUCUCUCCUCCCAAGACAGAGAGAGAAGAGGAGGUGAGGUGAGCUGGGGUGAGGUGGGGUGCUCGUUGUCCAGUCUUCUCUGACGACCCUCUUGAGCCUUUGAAAUUCUCCAAGCCCCUGAGAGAUAAGGAGACUCGUGGGUUCUUGCUCUUUCUCCCCGUAAAGCAAGUUUGAGUUCGAACAGAAGAAAAAGCUCCUUUUUUGAAGUAAGAAUGCAUUGGUUUAUUCUUUUCUUUAGCCAUUUUUUUUGAAUUUUGUUAGAAAGAUAGGAUUCUGAAGAGAAAAAUGUGGAUUUUUGUCUCGCUUUUGAGAGAGGAGGAAGUUUCUUUGGGCAUCCGUUUCGGUAAUUUUUGGAAUUUCUACGAAAGCAUUAGUUUAUUCUUUGAAUAUUGAGCCUUUGGAACUUUAGUCGUCUGAGCUUGUUUCGUAAACAAAACUCGCUUCUUUCUGGCGACUAGCUUCAGCAUCGGUCAAAUCCCUUAAUAAGUCGGAAUGGUAGGGAAGGGGACCCUCUCUACUUCAAUGGAAAAGGGGGAAUCGCCAUUUCACAGCCGCCCCCCCUACAAAAUUUUUACCUAUCAUUUCGCUUGACAUGAUCACGAACGAAGACAGAGAAUUGCGUAGAUAGGAGGAGGAAACGAACCAACCUCGGGCCCCCAACCAAAAGGGAAUGAAAUGGAGAAAUGAUCGGAACGAUUGAGGAAAGAAGGAGAAAGGUGGCCCCUUUCGCCCUGGGGACAUCGUAGGAGAACAAUAUCGGGGACAGGCUUCGAAGGUUGUUCCAUA
rnacentral:lncRNA from 1 species